GAAAAACGCUCGGAUGAGCUGUGGGUCGGAGUGAAAGGCUAAUCAAACCCCGUGAUAGCUGGUUCUCCUCGAAAUGCAUUUAGGUGCAGCGUUGCGUGUUGAUGAGUGGGGGUAGAGCACUGACAGGGCUAGGGGGCAUACCCGCCUACCAACCCCUAUCAAACUCCGAAUACCAUUCAAUAGAGCGCAGCAGUGAGACGGCGGGGGAUAAGCUUCGUCGUCGAGAGGGAAACAGCCCAGAUCAGCAGCUAAGGUGCCUAAAUUGUGCUCAGUGGAAAGGAGGUGAGGUUUCAUAGACAGUGAGGAUGUUGGCUUAGAAGCAGCCACCAUUUAAAAAAUGCGUAAUAGCUUACUCAUCGAGAGACCUUGCGCCGAAAAUACUUGGCGAUAAGCACAAUACCGAAGCUCUGGGUGUCCUAGUUUACUAGGGCGCGGUAGAGGAGCAUUCUCUGUGCAGUGAAGGGUGAUGGCGACUGACCCUGGAGCGCAGAGAAGUGAGAAUGCAGACAUGAGUAACGAUAAGAGCGGUGAAAUCCCGCUCCGCCGUAAAUCCAAGGUUUCCCGGGCAACGUUUUUCGUCCCGGGGUUAGUCGGGACCUAACCCGAGGCCGAUGGGCGUAGGGGAUGGUAAGCAGGUUAAUAUUCCUGCACCCAGUAAGGAGGACGCAUAAUGAAAAGCUACUAGGUUAUUGAAUUCCGAGGCGAGGCUUAGGCCGGACCGUAUAGCUGGACAGAGUGCCAAGAAAAGCCCUUACAUUAAUGGCCCGUACCGUAAACCGACACAGGUGGAUGGGUAGAAUAUACCAAGGCGCAAGAGUGAAACCUGGUCAAGGAACUCGGCAAAAUAGCCCCGUAACUUCGGAAGAAGGGGUGCCCCCUCUGGGGGGCCGCAGUGAAAUGGCCCAACCGACUGUUUAGCAAAAACACAGCAUUGUGCUAAGGCGUAAGCCGACGUAUACGAUGUGACACGUGACCAAUGCCAAAAGAUUACGGUAAGAUGUUAGCACUUUAGUGCGAAGCUUCGAGCCCAAGUCCUGGUGAAUGUCGGCCGUAACUAUAACGGUCCUAAGGUAGCGAAAUUCCUUGUCGGGUAAGUUCCGACCUGCACGAAUCGUGCAACGAGUUGGGCGCUGUCUCGACCAGGUGCUCAGUGAAAUUGUAGUUCCGGUGAAGAUGCCGGACACCCGCAGAAGGACGGAAAGACCCUAUAGACCUUAACUGUAAGCUGUUAUUGGUUGUUCGAUCUUAAUGCUCAGCAUAAGUGGGAGACAUUGAAGGGUGCGUUUAGGCGCAUCUGGAGUCAUCAGUGAGAUACCACCCUUUAAUAUUGGAUAAUCUAACCCCGAGCCGUCAUCCGGCCGUGGGGACAAUGGCAGCCGGUCAGUUUUACUGGGGCGGUAUCCUCCUAAAGAGUAACGGAGGAGCGCGAAGGUGGGCUCAGCACAGUUGGCAACUGUGUGUUGAGUGUAAAGGCACAAGCCCGCCUAACUGUGAGACCUACAAGUCGAGCAGAUACGAAAGUAGGCCUUAGUGAUCCGGCGGUAGAAUGUGGAAUUGCCGUCGCUCAACGGAUAAAAGGUACCUUAGGGAUAACAGGCUUAUCACGCCCAAGAGUUCAUAUCGACGGCGUGGUUUGGCACCUCGAUGUCGGCUCGUCGCAUCCUGGGGCUGGAGAAGGUCCCAAGGGUCCGGCUGUUCGCCGGUUAAAGCGGCACGCGAGCUGGGUUCAGAACGUCGCGAGACAGUUCGGUCCUCUAUCCUCUGUGGGCGUAGGAAAAUUGAAGGGUUCAGACCUUAGUACGAGAGGACCGGGUUUGACGCACCUCUGGUGUUCCAGUUGUUCUGUCAAGGGCACUGCUGGGUAGCUAAGUGCGGAACGGAUAAGCGCUGAAAGCAUCUAAGCGCCAAGCCAUUCCUGAGAUAAAUUUUCCCUGAAGGAUCGUGGAAGACGACCACGUUGAUAGGCUGGGGGUAGAAGUGCAGCAAUGUAUGUAGCUCACCAGUACUAAUCAUCCGUUCGACUUAAUUCC
rnacentral:rRNA from 1 species